AUGAGUGGGACUAGCGUCUCAGGCGAUGAAGUCAUUGCAAAGCUGCUUGAAAUGGGUUUGGAGAAUUCCAGUGUAGUAGAAGCUGGUAAAAGAAGUUGGGUCGUCUUUUGAUGAUGCAUUGGAGUUUAUACUGAAUGGUUGUUGUGGAAGCAAUCAGAGAGCAUCGAGUAGUUCCACUAGCUUCUCGAAACCGCUGGGUCAGAUUCGGCAGUCUAGCAUACUGGAUCAUUUCCAAUCCUCGAGUGGACCUAAGCGGAGGAGGACUGGUAAAUCUCUGUGUUUCCAGAUUCCAGCAUUGUUGACUGGGAAAGUGAUUGUUGUGAUUUCACCAUUGAUAUGCUUGAUGCACGAUCAAUGCUUAAAGCUGGCAAAACAUGGGGUUUGUGCUUGCUGUCUUGGAUCUGGGCAACCUGAUAGUACCGUGGAAAAUAAUGCAAUGAGAGGCAUGUACGACAUAAUAUACGUUUGCCCUGAGACAAUCUUAGGUCCUCAAACUGAAAAAUUGCAAUCUACCAUGCUGCAGGCUGAUGCAGAAAUUCGUGGGAUUGCACUUUUUGCAAUUGAUGAAGUCUGUUGUGUUUCAAAGUGAGGCCAUGAUUUUCGGCCUGACUACAGGAGAUUGUCUGAGUUGCGAAAGAACUUCAGUGCUAGCAAUUUAAAAGUCUUAAAAUUUGAUAUGCCACUGAUGGCAUUGACUGCUACUCCACAAUUCUGGUUCGUGAAGACAUUCUUAAUCCAUUGUCCAUGUCAAAGGAAACAAAAAUUGUGUUUACUUCAUUUUUCCGGCCAAAUCUAAGGUUCAGGGUACAAUAUGCUAGAACAUCAACAUCAUCGUAUGAGAAUGAUUUCCAUGACUUGAGACAUGUAUACGGGCAAGAGAGGAAACGGUGUAAAGAAACAAAUGAUCACCUCACAAGAAGUAAACGAAGUGCUAGACAGCUCAUCUAACAGUAGUAUGUCAGAGGCUGAUUGCGAUUUAGAGAAUGAUUUGGACAGUAUUGAGGAUGGUAAUUAUGACAGGUAUGAUGAAGCAAAUUCACUCCAGGAAAAUGGUUCAAGUGCUUCAAAGGGAAGGGAACUGUCAGUUGACUACUUGGAGAAUGAAGUUGAUGUCUUUCAGAGUGUGGAUGAUUGGGAUGUUAGCUGUGGUGAAUUCUGUGGACUACCACUAUGGGAUUUCAGAUUGGUCGAGAGUUUGGAAGAAUACCAUCAAGAAGCAGGUCGAGCAGGAAGGGAUGGAAAAUUAGCUGACUCAGUUUUAUUUGCAAACCUAACAAGAGCACCAUCACUUUUGCCGAGUCGAAGAAGUGAAGAGCAGACAAAGCAAGCGUAUAAAAUGUUGUCUGAUUGUUUCAGGUAUCAAAGUACUUUCUCCUGCUGUCGGGCAAAAGAACUUGUGGAGUACUUUGGGGAGAAUUUCAGUUAUGGCAAGUGUCUCUCAUGUGAUGUCUGUUAACGGACCUCCAGAAAUGCAGAAUUUCGGGAAGGAGGCAGAUGUCUUAAUGCAGGUUAUUGCUGCUCAGUAUACUGAAUUUUGAAGCUUUUUUGGUGAAAGGUCUGCCCAUUAAUUAUUGUUGACAUAGCUAUACGGAAAACUCAAUCUCAGAAAGAUUGUCAGUAAAAUAAGAGAGCAGUCUCAGCAGUUAAUGGCAACUGAGCUGCUUUGGUGGCAAGGUCUUCUCCGAAUUAUGGAAGGUAAAGGGUUCAUCAGAGAGGGAGAUGAUAAGACACAUGUUCAAUUGAAGUUCCCCAAGCUAACAGAACUUGGCCUGGAGUUUCUGCAAUCCGAAAAGGAGAGAUUUUUCUAUGUUCACCCUGAAGCAGAUAUGCUACUCUCGGCAAGCAUGCCCAAAUCUUUCUCAACUUUCUCAGAGUGGGGAAAAGGCUUGGCUGAUCCUGAGAUUCAACUUCAGCAGUUGGAGAGUUUUCGACACAACACAAGCCCACAAAGCUCCUUUUGUAAAAGAGGAAAACAAAAAUCACGAAAGCAACGAACAAGAAAAGCAAGUGCUAGUAGUCACAGUGUUAGAACUGUUAGAGGUAGAGGCUAAACUCUCUAAACAAAGUAUCAGACCAAGGUCAUAGAAUCAUUAAAAUGUCUGCAAUUAGCAAGUAGAAUAUAUAGUAGUUUUUGACAAAAUACGUUGUAGUGGAUCCUAAAGAUUAGCUGCUUAAUUGACCA